rnacentral:rRNA from 1 species
CCAGCCCGCUCAGAAACUUAAAGGAAUUGACGGGGGCCCGCACAAGCGGUGGAGCAUGUGGUUUAAUUCGAUGAUACGCGAGGAACCUUACCUGGGCUCAAAUGUAUGUUGACGUAUUCUGAAAGGGAUACUUCUUCGGACAAUAUACAAGGUGCUGCAUGGUUGUCGUCAGCUCGUGCCGUGAGGUGUCGGGUUAAGUCCCAUAACGAGCGCAACCCCUAUCAUUAGUUGCCAUCAGGUCAAGCUGGGGACUCUAAUGAAACUGCCUACGCAAGUAGUGAGGAAGGUGGGGAUGACGUCAAAUCAGCACGGCCCUUACGUCCAGGGCUACACACGUGCUACAAUGGCCGAUACAGAGGGCAGCUACCUGGUGACAGGAUGCAAAUCUCCAAAGUCGGUCUCAGUUCGGAUCGGAGUCUGCAACCCGACUCCGUGAAGUUGGAUUCGCUAGUAAUCGCGCAUCAGCCAUGGCGCGGUGAAUACGUUCCCGGGCCUU